UACCAGAUUACAAUUCACACCAGCCGGGA
rnacentral:piRNA from 1 species